rnacentral:rRNA from 1 species
UACAGAGGGUGCAAGCGUUGUUCGGAAUUAUUGGGCGUAAAGCGCGUGUAGGCGGCUUUGCAAGUCGGGUGUGAAAGCCCCUCAGCUCAACUGAGGAAGUGCGCCCCGAAACUGCAGAGCUUGAGUGCCGGAGAGGGUGGCGGAAUUCCCCCAAGUAGAGGUGAAAAUUCGUAGAUAUGGGGGAGGAACACCGGUGGCGA